GUAGGAUACGACUGGCAUACAGUCUGCCAUUGUUUGUUCCCCUGUCAUGAUCAUGAUGAUGUCCUUACGCAGCCUGAGACACGGAGGCCCAGGAGGGUCUGCAGCCCGAGCUCCUUCCUCCCUCACAGCCAGUCUCGGCCGGAAGGGAAGGCAGCUCCAAGUCAAUUGGCCUGUUACACAGACGGAAACUGAAGCCCAGGCUCUUGUGCUUUCCAGCUGUGCGACCUGAGCAAGGUGUAAGAAGCUUCCAUUUUCUCCAUGGUAAAGUGGCAUGAGAAGUGACCUCACGGGGUUACUGCAAAGAUUACACGCAGUGUUGGAUAAACACCGUUCACAUGUCUUAGCUUUCGUCAACCUACAGACAGCAUCAGCUAGGAUGAGAACAAGGUGUGCUUUCAGCAAAGGCAGCGUUCAAUACAGCCACAGAAUUCAAAGGAAAGAGGGUCUGGGGUUCUAGAAAGGCUUCCUGUAGGAGGUGACAGAGGAGCCCACUUUACAAAUGAAAAGUGCCCCAGCACCACUGAACAUCAUGAAGGAUCAGUGCUCAAGAUCAUUUUCCUGUCCGGAUUGAAGUCCAAAAUUGCUCUCUUCAUUCCCUACCUCUGCAUCUUCUGCUAUCCCAUCUUUAUGUAUUUGAAUUAAUGCUAACAUACUAUAUUAUUUAAAUAAUAAGCAGCUGUUGUGUUUACCAUUUAA
ensembl:lncRNA